rnacentral:lncRNA from 1 species
ACAGCCAUUUUCCUGAUUGAUUGACUGAGAAGGGUAUUCCGCCCUAUUGGUCUUUGGGAUUAUGGUCGCAGCAGACGAAGGCUCACCACAGUGACAGAAAGUUUCACCGAAGUAGAUCCAGAAAUCACACUCCCGAGAGUCCAUUAAGGGCACACCGCCCUGUGGGCACUUGUCUUCGGGGAAAUCCCUCUAAAGUUGCAGCUCCAGAUGGAAAGCAGCUGAGGAGUCCGAUAAAGCCGUUGCAGUACUUCAGCAUAAGCAGAGCUCGUGGACAUUGCAUACAGAUGGAUAUUCUAUUUCGGACAUUAGUAUAGCAGGCUAUUAAGGAGUCGAUCACAAUAACAAUUCCACCGCCGGUGCAUUAUCGAAGCUGGCCACUACAGAUGCUUAUAACUUUGACGACAGAUGGCGUCAUUUCUUCGGAUCAGAUGCUGGCAAAGAAGAC